rnacentral:rRNA from 1 species
GAUGAACGCUGGCGGCGUGCUUAACACAUGCAAGUCGAACGGAAAGGCCAUGCUUUUGUCGGGUUCUCGAGUGGCGAACGGGUGAGUAACACGUGAGUAACAUGCCCUUGACUGGGGGGGAACUUCAGGUAACUAGGGCUAAUACCGGAUAGGAGCUCCUGCAGCACGGUGGGGGUUGGAAAGUUUCGGCGGUUCGGGCUGGGCUCGCGGGUUAUCAGCUUGCUGGGGGGGUAGUGGCUGUCCAAGGCUUAGACGGGUAGCCGGCCUGGGAGGGUGACCGGCCACCAUGGUCCUGAGAGACGGCCCAGACGGGAACGGGAGGCAACGGGGGGAAGCAUUACACAGCGAGGGGGAGCGUGAGACGACGGCGUUGCGUUCGUGAAGACGGCCUUCGGGUUGUGAACCGAUUUCGCCUGAGACGAGGCGUGAGUGACGGUAAUGGGUAAAGAAGCACCGGCUAACUACGUG